AGGUAACGGAGGCGCUCAAAGGUUCUCUCAGUACGGUCGGAAAUCGUACGUAGAGUGUAAAGGCAAAAGAGAGCUUGAUUGCAAGACAUACAGGUCGAGCAAGGAUGAAAAUCGGACUUAGUGAUCCGGUGGUUCUGCGUGGCAGGGCCAUCGCUCAACGGAUAAAAGCUACCCUGGGGAUAACAGGCUUAUCUCCCCCAAGAGUCCACAUCGACGGGGAGGUUUGGCACCUCGAUGUCGGCUCAUCACAUCCUGGGGCUGUAGUAGGUCCCAAGGGUUGGGCUGUUCGCCCAUUAAAGUGGUACGCGAGCUGGGUUCAGAACGUCGUGAGACAGUUCGGUCCCUAUCCGUCGCAGGCGUAGGAAAUUUGAGAAGACCUGUCCUUAGUACGAGAGGACCGGGAUGGACGUACCUCUGGUGUACCAGUUGUCCUGCCAAGGGCAUGGCUGGGUAGCUAUGUACGGAAUGGAUAAGCGCUGAAAGCAUCUAAGCGCGAAG
rnacentral:rRNA from 1 species